CAGCCGCCGCGGUAAAACCAGCACCUCAAGUGGUCAGGAUGAUUAUUGGGCCUAAAGCAUCCGUAGCCGGCUCUGUAAGUUUUCGGUUAAAUCUGUACGCUUAACGUACAGGCUGCCGGGAAUACUGCAGAGCUAGGGAGUGGGAGAAGUAGACGGUACUCGGUAGGAAGUGGUAAAAUGCUUUGAUCUAUCGAUGACCACCUGUGGCGAAGGCGGUCUACUAGAACACGUCCGACGGUGAGGGAUGAAAGCUGGGGGAGCAAACCGGAUUAGAUACCCGGGUAGUCCCAGCUGUAAACUAUGCAAACUCAGUGAUGCAUUGGCUUGUGGCCAAUGCAGUGCUGCAGGGAAGCCGUUAAGUUUGCCGCCUGGGAAGUACGUACGCAAGUAUGAAACUUAAAGGAAUUGGCGGGGGAGCAC
rnacentral:rRNA from 2 species